UGAUUAACACUGAAUAUUUAUGAAUGUAACUUCCGGAAAUGAGAAGUUGAUUUGAUACAAAAUGACAACUUAUACCCGUUUUAAUAUAAUUUAAAAGGUUAUAACAAAUUAUACUAGAAGUUUAAUCAACCCAAAUGAUAAUAAAAACUCCAUCUACAAUAACAUGAUUAAAAACAAUAACCAAGAUAAAACAAGUGCAAUAAUUAAUUUUAUUCUUCAUUUGUUGCCUAUUGCACGCAUGUUCUCUAUCUCUUGCUCCAUUCCUUUAAUCUUUCAAAGCAAUCCGGAGAUUAUUUGUCUUGAUCUAUAACACAUUGGAGGAUCGUACCAACCAAAAAACUGACAAACAUUGCUCUGUAAACAAAGAAGUUUUCAAUUUUAUGAGCAAGUAAAUAAAAUGGUAGAGAUAAGAGACAAAAUUGAAACCCUAACACACUUACUUUUCCAUAAUUUGUACAUGAUAAAAACCUUCUUCCUGGGUUUGUAUCGGUCCAUGCUGUUUUAAGUUUAGCUCGCCUCUCACAAUCACAUAGUGCGUUCAUGGCUGGAAAUACAUAACAGGAAAUCAUCCUUGUAAAUUAAGAGGUCAGGAACAGAUACUCAAGAACUUGCAAAUAUAAAACAGGAAAACACAAUGGAAAUAGAUUGUUCUAUGAGAGAAGACAACUCAAAAGGCAAUUAAUAUUUAAGGAAUAUCAGAGACGUUAGCAGAAACUACUGGAACGCUUGUGAUCCAAAAAUUUAUGGGAAUGUAUGUGACAGGUAACAGGAAGUAAAAAUGGUUGUUGCCUUCUAUCUGAUCCCAUAAUAUCCAAUUAAUUCUAAACAAGAAACCAUUUAAUUUCCUACAACUCAACAAAAGAUUACAUUUGUUUGAGUAGUAUAUUGCUUCAAAGCUACAACAAAAAGAAAAUAAAUUAAUUGAAGAAAUCUCAUUUAAAACACUCAAAAGGCCUUACACAAAUUCUAAUCAUUUUAGAGUACAAAAAUCCUACAAUCUUCUAAUUCAAUAACAUCUCAACAAAUAAUCCAUUUACCAUGUCAAUACAUAUCAAACUCCCAGUAACAAGAAAUAACAUUUAACUCCCAGUAAAGGUCAUUGAAGCUUUAACCUUACAACAACAAUUCAAAAUCAGAAAUAGAUUAUACUCCUCAUAUAAACCUUACCAACCAAAUAUGAAACAAAGGUAUCAUUUUUUUUGUCUCAAAAAAUGUAAAAUAAAUUUUAAUAAUACUAUUGUCUUCAGUUCUGGUUUGGCAACUACAGGUCGCAAUAAUAUUGAAGGUAUUGGUGUUAUCUGGUCCUCAAGUCUCCUUUUCGUUGUUAGAUGUUUCGUUGAUUUCUGUUUUUAGUUUUUGAUCAACUUGUCAAGAUUAUAUGGUUGAAAAGCUUGGUAUAGAUAAGAACACAAUGUCCAAAUUGGGUAAUCUAUUAUACAAGAAUUAUGGGACAACAUAACCAGUUAUAAGGUUUUCCCCUCAAAAAUUAUUAGUCCUAAAAAACAAUUAUUGAAAAUCAAAACACAAAAUGUAAAAAAUUAAGCCUAAUUCAACACUAACAACAAGAAAAUCCAUCUACCCACAUUACCUUGCAGUGAAUCGACGGAUUGAAAGAUGACUUUGUGUGAAUCGACGAGAUGGGCGGAGUAUGCUUGUUGAUUUUGCGAGGAGAUGGCUGAGUUGGUCGAUAUUGCGUCGAUUUUGCGAGGAGGUGGACGAGAUGAAUCAAAGAGAGAUAUGUCUUCUCCGUACUAUGAAUCGAAGAGAGAGAGAGAGAUGGCUGAGUCGAAGAGAGAGAUGGAUGCGUCAGUUUUUUGUUUUUAGCUGAGUCCAAAGUGAGGAAAGAGAAGAAAUAAGGGAUGGUUUAAAUAGGUGAGUUGGGUAAACUA
rnacentral:lncRNA from 1 species